rfam:Myotis lucifugus cont2.5165, whole genome shotgun sequence.
AUACUUACCUGGUAGGGGAGACACCAUGAUCACGUAGGUGGUUUUCCCAGGGCGAGGCCUAUCUAUUGCAUUCCGCAUGUGCUGACCGUUGCAAUUUCCCCAAAUGUGGGAAACUCGACUGCACAAUUUGUGGUAGUGGGGGAUGGCGCAAAA